UUGGGCUUUUUUAUAAAAUGACCCUCUAAAAAAUUAUAAUUGGCAAAAUAACCAUAUGAAAAUUUUAUUUGUAAAACUAACCCUCCUUUCGCCACGUAGGCGCCACGUCAGGAUUUUCUUAUAAAGACGGUGAAUCGUUCGCCGUUUUCUCUUAUUUCUUUUAAAGGCGGUGAAUCGUUCACAGCUUUCUUCCAUUUCUUUUAAAAACGGUAAAUCAUUCACCGCCUUUCACUUAUUUACUGUUUCUUUCUAUAUCUCAUAUAAUCUUAACAAUUUUUAAAUUCUAAUAAUUUAUCCAUAUAAUUUCAUAUAAAAGCAGUUAAGAUUAUAUGAAAUUACAUAUAUAAAUUAUUAGGAUUUAAAAAUUGUUAAGAUUAUAUAUAAUUUGUUUGAAUUUUUAUGUGAUUGUUAGGAUUAUAUAUAGAAUAUAGAAAAUAACAGUAAAUAAGUUAUGGGAGAAAGCGGUGAAUGAUUCACCGUCUUUAAAAGAAAUAGGAGAAGACGGUGAACGAUUCACCGUCUUUAAAAGAAAUGGGAAAACGCGUUGAACGAUUCACCGUCUUUAAAAAAUUCUAAAAAAGAUGGUUAGUUUUACAAAUAAAAUUUUGAGUAAAUUAUUUCGCAAAUUUUAAAAUUUUAGAGGGUUAUUUUAUAAAAAAGUCCUUAUC
rnacentral:lncRNA from 1 species